UAUACAACUUUCAACAACGGAUCUCUUGGCUCUCGCAUCGAUGAAGAACGCAGCGAAAUGCGAUAAGUAAUGUGAAUUGCAGAAUUCAGUGAAUCAUCGAAUCUUUGAACGCACCUUGCGCUCCUUGGUAUUCCGAGGAGCAUGCCUGUUUGAGUGUCAUUAAAUCCUCA
rnacentral:rRNA from 1 species